AUUUUAUGUUUUAUUUAUUUUUAUUUCAAGAAAGAAUACAAAUUAUUUGAUAUAUGAAUAGAAUAUAGUUCUAUUUGUACACAAUACAAUGGGUUGUGCUCCUUUAAAAAAAUGUUAAAAGGAUAAAGCUAUUUGUUAAAAACAUCUUUAAUAUCAACAUUUCCAGGUCACAGAUUGUAAUAAAAACAAACUAAAAAUUAACAUUGAACUUUGUUUUGUUUUUUUUCUGAGUUCAAC